rnacentral:rRNA from 1 species
GACGAACGCUGGCGGCGCGCCUAACACAUGCAAGUCGAACGAGCGAGAGAGAGCUUGCUUUCUCAAGCGAGUGGCGAACGGGUGAGUAACGCGUGAGGAACCUGCCUCAAAGAGGGGGACAACAGUUGGAAACGACUGCUAAUACCGCAUAAGCCCACGACCCGGCAUCGGGUAGAGGGAAAAGGAGCAAUCCGCUUUGAGAUGGCCUCGCGUCCGAUUAGCUAGUUGGUGAGGUAACGGCCCACCAAGGCGACGAUCGGUAGCCGGACUGAGAGGUUGAACGGCCACAUUGGGACUGAGACACGGCCCAGACUCCUACGGGAGGCAGCAGUGGGGAAUAUUGCACAAUGGAGGAAACCCUGAUGCAGCGACGCCGCGUGGAGGAAGAAGGUCUUCGGAUUGUAAACUCCUGUUGUUGAGGAAGAUAAUGACGGUACUCAACAAGGAAGUGACGGCUAACUACGUGCCAGCAGCCGCGGUAAAACGUAGGUCACAAGCGUUGUCCGGAAUUACUGGGUGUAAAGGGAGCGCAGGCGGGAAGACAAGUUGGAAGUGAAAUCCAUGGGCUCAACCCAUGAACUGCUUUCAAAACUGUUUUUCUUGAGUAGUGCAGAGGUAGGCGGAAUUCCCGGUGUAGCGGUGGAAUGCGUAGAUAUCGGGAGGAACACCAGUGGCGAAGGCGGCCUACUGGGCACCAACUGACGCUGAGGCUCGAAAGUGUGGGUA